ACGACCAUACCACAUUGAAAACACCAGUUCUCAUAUGAUCACUAAAGUUAAGCAAUGUUGGGCCCGGUCAGUACUUGGGAGGGUGACCACCUGGGAACACUGGGUGCUGUAAACU
rnacentral:rRNA from 1 species